CCCAAUUGCAUCCAGGAGGGUGUUUAUUUUGACCUGUUGCUGUGAUAGUCUAAUUCAGUCAUUUUAGCAUGGGAGCAUUUUGAUAUAAUCUGAAAUAUAAACCACUCAACUUUCACCUGUUACAAAUUGUCAGUCAGCAGGGGAAACCAGCAUCCGGAGUGAACGUCAGGGGGUGUUUGAACAGUGGGGUGUGUGGUAAGAGUGAAGCUUUUCUGUGAAGAGAAGAAAAGAUGAAGACACAUGCUCAGAGGAACAUCAACUUGAAAAUUAUGUGGCAUUAUGGAAUCUGGGUGAAGAUUGGGCCAUUGGAUUAUUUGGAACAGAAGGGAGUUGGAAGAGGGAUCAUGUAUACCCCAGAGAGAUUCUCUUCUUAUGGUACCGGAAUAACAUUGAGCAACACUAAGUACCUGGUGUUGUCAAGUUCAGAGGGACCUCCAUGUGAGAUACCGAAUUGUCAUGGUUGACAAAGGGACGUUGAACAUCAGUAACGCCUGAGGUCAAUUCUGUCCAGUGCAUUCUCCUUCCAAUGUGACUACAAUACAAGAAAUACCAUCAUUAGAGCUGAUUCCAAGAACAUGAUGUUAACAUAUUGAAUUGUAUUAGCUUAGAUUUGGAAGAGUUCCUGUAGUGAAGUUAAACCUGUGAUCCAGUUUAGAAAACUAUUUCACUAUCAUUAUAUAAAACCUUAGUUUGAACCUG